AUGAGUUACAAGCCGUUGCCCCGAAGGACGGAGUGGCCAGAUAGCGUUAUCAAAAAGUGCCCAGAGCUGGCCGCAUGCUAUUAUGCCACUAGGGCCAACACGGAUGAGGUCGCGGAGGACAUGCAACGGAGGAUGCUCGAGACACAGAAAGACUACAGGCAACAGCUGAAAACCAAGGGCAUAGUCACCUACGAGGAGGAGGUUGAUGAGGACUACGACGAAGACGAAGACUACGCUCCAUUGCAUCCACCGGGUCGGUGGAGGCACCGACCUGGCGUCAUGAAAAAUCGCCAAGGAGAGACUAGGAGGCUGAAUUAA
rnacentral:rRNA from 1 species